GGAGAGAGACUAGAGGCUUGGAGGGUGGUGAAAGAAUCGGUUGGAUCAAGAAAAGACACCGACAAUGGAUUCGCUGAAGCUACGGAGAGGAAAAACGAGUGAAUGGGUGACAGAACCUGACGCAGAGGGUGAGAAAGGGCGACUCGCAGAUUUGGUAAAGGGAGAAAGGAUCGACUUAAAAAUACAAGAUUUCCCCAUCUUGGAAAUAAAAUACCAUUGCAACAUGGACUGCUGAAAACAGACGAUACAAGCCAGAGGAUUUGCAUCACCUGUUUAAAUUCUGUGCGUUUGCCAUGUCUGUAUGCCGUUGCCGACCAUGCCCCUGAGGUUUGGUGAUAGUUCUUGUUUUGCUUUGAAAAUCAGUUAUUUUUACUUUUUCGACCGAUUACAUGGUGUUUUACUUUACCGUUACCAUUUUGGAACCAUUAUUAAUGACCGCGCCGCAGACCCUCCUCUAUCGUGUCUUUUGGGUGACAGUACGGAAUAAUUCUGCCCACAAAUAUAAAAGUGGAGAGAUCCUCUGCCUGGUCCACAUCACCCCUAAUCAUACACACAAGGCCAUUAUUACUAUCUGCUUAAUCUUGAAAGGAAGUCCAUUGCUAUCUUUGGUUAUCUAGCUGUAUGAGUGUUAAUCAGCCGUCAUAAAGCUAGAUAACCGAAAGUAGAAAUGUCUUCCAAAUACUACAACUUCAUCAAGACGGAGGGACAACAUAAAGAAACUAGAAAUCUGGAAAUAAUCAUUUUAAACUAAUUUAGACAACAGGCAUACCACUGCAGAAAACCAGUGACUCGCGCGUUUCCGUAUGCAGGUGGAUCUGGCAUAUCUGUUGGAUGGCUUUAGACAAGAAAACCGCAACAUGGACUGGGGCUGUGAUAAGGCCUGGCCGUGAACCAGAGGCAUUCCCCAUCUCCAAGGCGGUGGCCAACCGAUAACAGGCCUGCAUUCUCCAGGAGAUCCUAGGCCUGCAGCCAGGAUGGCAGCAUCACGGAGGUCCAGAGCAUACCUGAAGGAGCUACCAGACAUGAAGGAGGUGCUGGGCGAGCCAAGGAGUACCACACACGACUUGAAGGUGCUGAAAUCAGCUGAAAAAACAAAGCCCCACCUGCUGACUGGCACCCCCACCAGGAGACAAGGAUCACACGGAUUGGCAGAUGGGUCUAUCAGUACGUUCAGCUAACGGGACUCCCUACAGAAACCAAACGAUCGUCACUCUGUAACCGUGCCCCACUUCUAUAAAUAAAAUCCUGCUGGUGUAGUACAGACGACGGGGUCGGAGUCUCUCCCCAAACACACUGUGAACUGAGCCUGAACCCAAACAACUCCUGCUGCACCACCGGACUGAGGACCUUCGAGCCAAAUUUUAAUCAUGGUGGGGGCAGAGUUAUAGCCAAACAUUCUGAAUGACUUUCAGAAAGUUUUUCAAUUAAAGCUAAAAUAAAUACAAAUUUAAAAAUCCUUUAGCCAAUGUUUAUCCCAACAGAGAUGCACAUAGGGGUCAGUAAUGCUUUCCAUGCCUGUUAGACACAGACACACGGAAUACUGCAGUAUACAUUAGCUUUCUGAAGCAGCAUUUUCUGAAGCAUGUUAUGUAAUCCUCCUGACGUGGAACAAACCUUUGAUUUUCCAUUUGUACUUAAUACUGAAGUCUCGUGUUUCCAUUUAUUCUCAACAGAACUAGACAUUAAAGAUUUCUGUGUGUGAUUCUAUUCUGAUUAUACACAGUGUGUACUAUGGAGAGUGUAAUACUCUAUUCACGUAUACUCGGUCCAUAUAUGCAAAUGUGAGGAGAGUUUCUGUUUUUAAAACUAUAGUAACGUUAAAUAUAAGGUAUAUUCUGUGCAGACUAUGAACUUUACAUUACGGGCUUUGCCCGUGCAGAGAAUGGUGCAACACAUGGAAAUAAAAUUUCAUUUAAAAAUC